ACAGAGAUGGGUAGAUACACACAUUACAACCUAACACAGAGAUAGGUAGGUACACACAUUAUACACACAUUAUACACACAUUACAACCUAACACAGAGAUAGGUAGGUACACACGUUAUACACACAAUAUACACACAUUACAACCUAACACAGAGAUAGGUAGGUACACACAUUACAACCUAACACAGAGAUAGGUAGGUACACACAUUAUACACACAUUACAACCUAACACAGAGAUGGGUAGGUACACACAUUACAACCUAACACAGAGAUAGGUAGGUACACACAUUACAACCUAACACAGAGAUAGGUAGGUACACACAUUACAACCUAACACAGAGAUAGGUAGGUACACACAUUACACACACAUUACAACCUAACACAGAUAGGUAGGUACACACAUUAUACACACAGACCUUACACACACACACA